GAAGCAUGCCUGGCAGCUGUUUGGAGUUGCUUGAAAGCAGGAAAGAAAUCCCAGGAAAGGAAAGAAGAACAAAGAAAGUAUGACAGACCCAAGAAGAGACAAUAAAGGCCUCUUUAGCAUGAAUGACUAAGCCCUGUCAGCAACUGGAAAUCCAUGGACUACUGCAUUGGAAACAGCAAAACAUUGCCAGUCACUGUGCAGCACAGACCCAUUGCAGCACCCUGAUUUUUUUUUCCUAAACCAACAAUUCAUGUUGACAGCAAAUCUGUACAGAGA
rnacentral:lncRNA from 1 species